UACGGAGGGUGCAAACGUUGCUCGGAAUCAUUGGGCGUAAAGCGCACGUAGGCGGCCUGUUAAGUCGGGUGUGAAAGCCCUGGGCUCAACCCAGGAAGUGCACUCGAAACUGGCGGGCUUGAAUAUGGAAGAGGGUCGCGGAAUUCCCGGUGUAGAGGUGAAAUUCGUAGAUAUCGGGAGGAACACCAGUGGCGAAGGCGGCGACCUGGGCCUGUACUGACGCUGAGGAGCGAAAGCGUGGGGAGCGAACAGG
rnacentral:rRNA from 1 species